rnacentral:rRNA from 1 species
GACGAACGCUGGCGGCGUGCUUAACACAUGCAAGUCGAGCGGUAAGGCCCUUUCGGGGGUACGACGAGCGGCGAACGGGUGAGUAACACGUGGGUGACCUGCCCUUAGCUCUGGGAUAAGCCUGGGAAACUGGGUCUAAUACCGGAUAUGACCUCAUGACUCAUGUUGUGGGGUGGAAAGCCUUGUGCGGCUAGGGAUGGGCCCGCGGUCUAUCAGCUUGUUGGUGGGGUAAUUGCCUACCAAGGCGACGACGGGUAGCCGGCCUGAGAGGGCGACCGGCCACACUGGGACUGAGACACGGCCCAGACUCCUACGGGAGGCAGCAGUGGGGAAUCUUGCGCAAUGGGCGAAAGCCUGACGCAGCGACGCCGCGUGAGGGAUGAC